CUUUUGGCUUUAUGCAUUGUAGAGUAUGAAGGGUGAGACCUGCCCAAUGGUUAUAUCUUAAAAGGUUAGUAGGGCUAACUUAAUAAAGAUAAUUAAAUGGCCGCGGUAACACUAACCGUGAAAAUGUAGCGUAAUCAAUAGUCAAUUAAUUGUUGGCCGGUAUGAAUGGUGUCACGAGGGUCUCACUGUCUUAAGGAAAUCUCCAGUGAAAUUGAAUUUGUAGUGAAGAUGCUACAUCCAAAUUGUUAGACGAGAAGACCCCAUGGAACUUUACUGGAAACUUAUGUGGCUGACUUAAAUAGUUUUAAAAGGUGGUGCGGAUUAAUUAGGGUUAAAAAGUUCACUUUUUUAUUUGAAGAAAGGCAACUCAAAAACUUAUAUCUUUGGGAUUUGAUAAGUGGGACAGUUUGGUUGGGGCGAUCGCCUUUAAAAAAGUAACGAAGGCGGGCUUAAGAUAUAUAUUUGGUUAUGUCUGACUGCCAGGGGGAAACCUAGAGCAGACACUUAUCUUUGGAUGGUGGGUUUAAGUGACCCGUUAAUUUAGGGUGAAAUAGUUAACGAUAAACAAAUAAAAGUUACCCUGGGGAUAACAGCGUAAUAACGUCAGAGAGUUUUCAUCGACGACGAUGUUUGCGCCUCUCGAUGUUA
rnacentral:rRNA from 1 species